CUGUCCACAGGCACCAUUUGGCUCCAAUUCCACACCCUAAGCAUUUCUAUGAAUAUAGGCUUUGUGGACUGUUUAUUCAUGUGACAUUAAUCCCAGAAGGGAAUCAAAGCGGCGUAGAUGCCAUUACCCUUGUUUGCCUUGGAUUGUCUGCUAUAAACUCCCACAGCAGCCUGGGAGUUGAGAACCUGCUUAAUGAGGCCUGGGACAGGGAGGAAGUGGGCAGAGAGAAGAGUCAGAUCAUCUCUCUGAGAUCCAUGGCCAACAGAGGAGCAGAAAGGCUGGGCAGCAUAUGAUCUCUGAUUCCACAUCUCAGCUGAGCAGAGCAUCUGGACCGUGCACACGUCCUGGUCCCAGAGCUGGGCCUGGGAGGGUACACUUUGCUCUGCACAAAAUGGGGGACAUGAGGCACCUUCAGACACUUUCCUGAAGCAGCAGGUCACUGAUUUCCCAAGUUCUGGUGUCAAAAUACCCGAGGGCCCUCUUUGGAGCCCUGUAGCUGAACAAACCUAUGUUUUUGAAAUGAGAAUAACAGCAAUCAGCUCUUCUUCUGUGUGGAACUUUAAUUAGAGCUUUCACAUGAAAGGAGAAGAUGCCAGGAGCCAUUCUCCCUUACAAUGAGGUGUCCCCUAUAUACAACCUGGAAGAUCCAGAGAGUCAGGGGCCUCUCUUGCCUGUGCAGAGUGGCCCAGCUCCUGUGAUGCGAGUGGGGGGUGGAGUCUUGGCUCCAGAGCUCACUGAUAUCCUGAACCAAGGGAAUCCAUGUCAGAAAAUUCUGCUGGUAAAAUUUUGUGCCAUCUGAGAGAAGAACAAACAACUGAGGCUAGAGCUAGAAAUGUGGUCUCUGUGAAAACCUCAACACUACUGGUACCUUCCUAUGGUAAAGACACUAAUCUUGCUCCAAAGGAGGAAGUGGAUGCCACCAGAAGCUGGUCCCUUUGUUUUAGGGGUGGAGACUGCAAGUUGGUCCCACUGGAAUAAACAUUCCAGGAGUCUACAGCCAUCCCACCCCCAGAGGUUGCUGCCAACAGAUCCCUGGGAGUCAUAGAUUGUAUCCAGUAGCUGGCAGUCAUCACUUUCCACCAUUAAACAGUACCAAGAAAAGGGAAGUUGCAUGAGGGUGGAAGAGAGUUUAAGCAAGGAAACUGAAACUAAUACUGUAACCUCUGCUAUUACAUACAGAAAGUUUCCUGCAAGUAGCAGCCAGGUUCCUGGAGAGGAAAAAAUGUGUGUGUUUAGCUUCAUAAUCAUAAAACUCUUAAGGUACUGUGUGCCUUCCCCCAUUCUUCCUUCCUUCCAAAAAAG